rnacentral:misc_RNA from 1 species
UCAAACUUGGUCAUUUAGAGGAAGUAAAAGUCGUAACAAGGUUUCCGUAGGUGAACCUGCGGAAGGAUCAUUAUCGGGAGUGCCUUCGUGGCUCAACCUUCAACCCAAUGUUGUUACCACUUAACUGCCCUUUGGCGGGUCACCCGCCAAAAGCAAUCUCAAACUCGUCACAAACGUGUCAUAAUCUUAAAAUAAAAUCAAUAAAUCAAAACUUUCAACAACGGAUCUCUUGGUUCUGGCAUCGAUGAAGAACGCAGC